rnacentral:misc_RNA from 1 species
CUGUGCGUAUUCCGCGCGAAACCGAAAACAAGACAGACAGCGACACCCCAAAACGGCGGCGGUUGGCGCGCAGUGUCACCAGAGACGCGGUCCUCUGCACCCUUGCCCACCCACCCAAGUCGGCCCAGCCAUCCUUCGGCCACGGGCAACUCUUCUUUCUGUCGGCUGGCGGUGACAGUGCGCGUGCAUGCAUGCAGUGAUCCGGCGACGACGAGAAACUAUUAAAGACGACCACGUGCAAGCGUGUCUGUGCCGCCUGAUCGCCCUCUCUCCUGCGCCGUCGAAAGAGCAGUCGUAGAAGCAGCCCCCGCAGCCGUAUUACACACACACACACACACACACGUGCUUCGGAACAGCAGCGCAUCAUGUCUCUCUAUGGCGCUCGCGAGAGUGGCGGUGACGAGAUGUUGACGCCAGGCAUCACCGGCAUGAGCGGCAACUACCGAAACGAGAGCAACUGCCACCGCUUCUGGAAUCGGCUCAUGACGUGCAUGCGGGAGAGUCAAGAGCUGGAUGUGCUGUACGACUGCCGUAGCCGCAUGCUAGACAUGCGGGAGUGCGUCGUGCGUCACAAGCAGUCAACGUGGGUGAUGCGCGAAACAAUGACGUCCAUCCGCCACGAGGGCGAACUCCGCAAGUGGCUGCGUGACUAUGAUGAGAAGAUGGGGCAUCCGCCCCUGCUGGAGGCGGUGGCGGCAGUGCGCAAGAAGGUGGACGCCGAGGGCGGCGUGGACAUUAUGAACCCGACGGUCUUCAAGGACCCUGACAUGUACAUCCCGCGCAGAGCGAAGGUAGCGUCUGCUGGCAGGUGAGCGGUGCUCAGUCGGAAAAGGCAGAUAUGCAGUGAUGAUGGAUGACAGCACGCCACGGUGUCGAGUCCCCCUUAUCGUGAUGUCGGUGAAUGUUUUCGUGUGUGUGUGCGUCGGUUGGGCGGUUCACCGCCGUAGUGUGGGUCGCAUUGGCGGCGGUGCCGCGCCUUUUCGUGUUAGCGGAAGUUGUAUCGAUGUAGAGAUGGAAAGUGUGUACGGGGGUAUCUCUGCAUGAGGCAUGCUCUCUAGCCAGUGUUGGCGGCCGUUGCGCUGCCCCCCCCCCUCCUCUCCCCGUUUCCAGCUCCUCGCACCCCUCCUUCUCCUCCUCGUUCGUGUCGUCGCUGUCGCAAUGGCCGUCGCCGUGUGUGUGAUAGUUCGGUCUUGUGUUGCUCCCGUCUGUGGCGGCGUGCGCUUCACUCUGUUCUCGGCGUGUUUUUGCUUCACUGUUGCCUUGUGUGUGCGCGCGUGGUCAAAAAAAAAGAGCGAGAGAAGAGACGGGGUCGGCCACGCCGACCGUAUCGCCAUCCCUGGAUGCGCAGCGGUCCCUUCACCCUCCCCGAGGGGGGCGAGCGCGUGGUAGCGUGCCCAACAAAGGGUGCCGGUGCGCUCUCGCAGCACCACAAACACACACGCUAACGCACGUGUGCACGUUCAAGGAGAGAAGGCGGAGCGCCCAUGAAAGCGCGCUGUCAGAUUUGCACAACCGUGGCCCGCAAGGCAUCACAGCGAUGACACCCCUCUCAACGACCUAUGCCACGCCUACCAUCUCAUCGCCCUCACUGUCUCUCUCUCUCUCUCUUCGCCCUAUCUCGAUCCCUUACCUUUCCCAUGCCCGUUGCGCAUACACACACACGCACACGUCAG